rnacentral:lncRNA from 1 species
CUCUUCCCUUUCUCUCCUAUCUCAAUUUCUCUGGGUUCCGUUCUGUUCACAAGCACUUGGUGGGUGUCAGAGCUGCUCUCACUUAAGGAGCUAAGCCCACAGUCUGUGCGCUUCCUCCAGCAGCAGGUUUACUCUCAGUGUGUGUGUGUGUCAUCCAUCUCUCUUUUCUUCAUCCAGAUACUCAGGAAAGCGAAUAAUGAAUUUGGAAGAUGUGAGGAUUUAUUAUAAGAUAAUUCUGAAUGUCCCCAGAAGCUCUGUUCCUAAAGCAGAAGUGCAAUAGUGCUCAAGGAGGAUUAAAGGACUAGGAUCGAGUACUUCCUAAAUACUGCUGCCUGCCCCUGUUCUAAACAACAGCUCAAAAAUAACAUACUUGCCUCUUCCGAGGGCUGUUCAAGAAGUAUAGGUAUGCACCCAAAAUAUAUCCAGAAGUUGAAAGAUCAGGCUCAACAUUUUGCAAAAAUAUUCCUACAGGGCAGUUUGACCUUCAGAAGAUACAGAACUGGCCCACGGUUCCUCUUUCUCUGAAGCUUUAGAAAAGAAUUCUGACAUAGGGCAUUUUGGUGGGUAGUUCAAUGCAAUGAACUUAAAAAAUAAGGCCAUGGAAGUACAACUACUGAUAAGCUCAGUGAUCAGUGACAGACUGCAAAACAGACAUCUGAUUUGCACAGAAACAUCUGGAGGGAGCUCCAAAUGCUCUGUGCUUGGUUCUGAGUCUCUGGGACUUGGCUCGUGGAAUUUUUAAUGUUCUUUUAAUCUCUUUUGAACAUAAAUAAGAGGGGAAGAGCAUGUGAACUUAACGAGUGUUUGCUUCAACAACAGCUUCAGAGACAUGUACACUUUCUGAACAUAACUUUAACAUUACAUUUCAUAUCCAUUUCACCUAGCCCUGGCAAGGCUAAGCCCCUGGGGUCCUAUUCACAAAUACUCAUGGCAGCCAGCGAGGGAAGGAUUCCAAGUCAGGAGGAACAUCAUAUCCCUGGUGUGUCAGUCAGUACUUUGUUCAGAGGGAAAGACGACGAAGCAAGACAGAAGGCUGCUGAAAACACAGAUGCUCACAUUUCUCCCACUAGAAACAGAACAAGAAUUUAUUUUCUUUUAUCAUAAAUCACAGGUUUUCUCUUAACGCUAUGCUUUAGACCUUCAGUCAGGGCUUAUGGCAGUAUAGAACCGCAUGCUCAAGUAAAUAUAAACUAUCUGGUGGAAAUGUCUUUC